UACGUAGGUGGCAAGCGUUAUCCGGAUUUACUGGGUGUAAAGGGCGUGUAGGCGGGAGUGCAAGUCAGAUGUGAAAACUAUGGGCUCAACCCAUAGCCUGCAUUUGAAACUGUACUUCUUGAGUGCUGGAGAGGCAAUCGGAAUUCCGUGUGUAGCGGUGAAAUGCGUAGAUAUACGGAGGAACACCAGUGGCGAAGGCGGAUUGCUGGACAGUGACUGACGCUGAGGCGCGAAAGCGUGGGGAGCAAACAGG
rnacentral:rRNA from 1 species